rnacentral:rRNA from 1 species
ACAUAUGGCCAUACCGAACUGAACACCCUGAUCCCGUCUGAUUUCGGAAGGUAAACCAUCCUGGGCCUGGCUAGUCCUUGGAUGAGUGACAUCUGGGGGUCCCAGGUACUAAAAGCA